CCAAUCGAACCCGGAGAUAGCUGGUUCUCCUCGAAAUAGCUUUAGGGCUAGCCUCGCAUUAGUUUACCGGAGGUAGAGCACUGAAUGGUCUAGGGGGCCUCACCGCCUACCGAAACCUAUCAAACUGCGAAUGCCGGAUAAAUGAUGUGCGGGAGUCAGGCCGCGAGAGAUAAGUUCCGCGGUCAAAAGGGGAACACCCCAGAUCGUCUGCUAAGGUCCCUAAGUACGCGUUAAGUGGGAAAGGAUGUUGGAUUGCACAGACAACCAGGAUGUUGGCUUAGAAGCAGCCACACAUUCAAAGAGUGCGUAAUAGCUCACUGGUCGAGUGAUCCAGCGCCGAAAAUGUAACGGGGCUAAAACGCGACACCGAAGCAGCGGGAUGCGUAAGCAUCGGUAGAGGAGCAUUGUGUGAGGGUUGAAGCCAGAGCGAGAGCACUGGUGGACUUCACAGAAGAGAGAAUGCCGGUAUGAGUAGCGAGACCCAUGCGAGAAACAUGGGCGUCGAAGGCCCAAGGUUUCCUGGGGAAGGUUCAUCCACCCAGGGUAAGUCGGGACCUAAGCCGAGGACUGAGGUCGUAGGCGAUGGACAGCAGGUAGAGAUUCCUGCACCACUACCACUUGUUUGACGAAGCAGUGACACAGAAGGAUAGGACGAGCGCGGUGAUGGUCAACCGCGUAGGCGGCACGAGGCCGGGGAGCAGUGAAGUACACUUCCCGCAAAGGCUGAGUGUUGACAGGACCGAAAAGAAGUAGGGAAGCGUCCGAGUUCACGCUGGCGAGAAAAGCUGCUAAGGAGAGUGUGAGUGCCCGUACCGGAAACCGACGCAGGUGGGCGAGGAGAGAAUCCUGAGACGGACGGGAGAACUCUUGUUAAGGAACUCGGCAAAAUGACCCCGUAACUUCGGGAGAAGGGGUGCCUCGAAAGAGGCCGCAGAGAAUAGUCACAAGCGACUGUUUAGCAAAAACACAGGUAUCUGCGAAAGCGAGAGCUGACGUAUAGGUGCUGACACCUGCCCGGUGCUGGAAGGUUAAGGGAACAUGUUAGAGCAAUCGAAGCAUCGAACCGAAGCCCCAGUAAACGGCGGCCGUAACUAUAACGGUCCUAAGGUAGCGAAAUUCCUUGUCGGGUAAGUUCCGACCCGCACGAAUGGCGUAACGACUUGUGAGCUGUCUCAACAGGAGGCCCGGUGAAAUUGAAGUAUGUGUGAAGAUGCACAUUACCCGCGACUGGACGGAAAGACCCCGUAGAGCUUUACUGUAGCCUGAUAUUGGAUUCUGGUAAUGGAUGUACAGGAUAGGUGGGAGGCUAGGAAGUCAGGGCGUCAGCCUUGGCGGAGCCGAUGUUGGGAUACCACUCUUUCAUUAUUGGAAUUCUAACCCGCGACCGUAGAGCCGGAGCGGAGACAGUGUCAGGUGGGCAGUUUGACUGGGGCGGUCGCCUCCGAAAGAGUAACGGAGGCGCCCAAAGGUAC
rnacentral:rRNA from 1 species